GACGAACCGUGCGAACGUUGUUCGGAUUCACUGGGCUUAAAGGGCGCGUAGGCGGCUUGCCAAGUCAGGGGUGAAAUCUUUCGGCUCAACCGGAAAAGUGCUUCUGAUACUGGAUGGCUUGAGAUUGGGAGAGGGAUGCGGAAUUCCAGGUGUAGCGGUGAAAUGCGUAGAUAUCUGGAGGAACACCGGUGGCGAAGGCGGCAUCCUGGACCAACACUGACGCUGAGGAGCGAAAGCCAGGGGAGCAAACGGG
rnacentral:rRNA from 1 species